CCCCACUCCCCCUCUCAAAAAAAAGAGUCCUUAAGAACAAAAUACACAAACAAGAAGGACAGACAUGGGGUAGGUAGAGUGAAAGUGGGAAUGAGGUACAAGAGGAGGCCCUGUCUUUAGCAGGGAAUAAUUAGAAGCACAAAAGGCCGGUUCAUCUCUUCUUGGCCUUCAUCGUGGGUCUACGGUGGACUGCAUCUUCCAUGUAAGAUGCACUAAAGGAGCCUGCCUGCCUUUUGUCAGUUUGCAUGUUGAUUUGAGACUCUUCUCCAAGAUUUCUUUCUGCAUUUUCAUUCAUUGCUUUGAAGUCAGUCUGAGUUUUCAUCUGGUCCUGCCCCUUGGGACUGCAGGAGGGGACAAAGGGGGAACUCCCUGGAGUGCAAGAUUUGGGAAGAAUGUGCAGAGGGAAAAUGAGCAAAUGCGAAAUGUGCCGGCACUGCCAGCAGAUGCAAGUGAGGGAUGGGGUGCUUGACAGCUCACGUCUCCAGGAGCAGAUCGUCCUUGCUGCCGUGAAGCAAGAGUCUGUCUGGAAAUGAAGGCACCAGAGGCAACAAAGCUGAGACAUGGAGACAGAGAGAGUCCUGAUGUUAUUAUUUGAACCAUUGAGUUCAGCUGUGCCUGAAACUCUUCAGUGAGCCAAGAAAUUCCUUUUUGGCUUAAGCCAAUUGGAGUCGUGUUUGUGACACUUGCAAAUGAAAGGAGUUAUUGACUAAUAAAACUGCCAUUUCUAUCUCUCCAA